rfam:Streptococcus pneumoniae 2070335 gspj15.contig.5, whole genome shotgun sequence.
UUGACAAAGAGCCAAAAAAUUCUCUUUUCAUACUCAUUUAAAAUCAAAAAGGGAAUUUAUCGUUUUACGGACAUGUAUAU